CAGCGGACGGAGCCGGGUCCCCCGGGUCCCCGGGGCCGAGCACAGGUCCCAAGUGCUCAGCGGCCGAGCGACGGGGCUCCACGGGAGGGACACCCGUGAGCGCAGCGGGGGCGGGAGCGGCGGGGUGAGGGCCCACGCGGAAGCGCUCGCCCGCGGGGGGCGUGACCCCAGGCCCCCAGCCCGCGCGCUCCGGACCCUCGCUCUCCCGCCGUGGAUGCCCGCGGCCGCCGCGAAGCCUCAGUAUCCAGGAAGAGCGAGGCGCGCCGGGAAGGGCGGGCGCAAACUGCAACUCCCAGGAGGCUUUGCGGAGGCGGGCGCUUGCCUCCGGCCAAUAGGGACGAAGGGGCGGGGCCACGGAGGGCGCGCCGCGGGCUGAUUGGCUGGGGGCGCGGGGGCAGGGCCACGGAGGGCGCGCUUAGGGCGGACCGGCCGGGGGCUCCGAGGGCUCCGGAGGGCGCGUGUCGGGGCCGCGGUCAUGGAGGCAACUGGCGGCGGCUUCCGGAAGUCAGCGGGGAUGCGCUUCGGCUCAUGGCGGAGCUGCUAACCAUCUUCGUUGUGGAAGCGGCUAUCCGCAGCGUCCGACAGGCCCAGGCAGAGGACCUGGCUC
rnacentral:lncRNA from 12 species